rnacentral:rRNA from 1 species
CCUACGGAGGGCUGCAGUGAGGAAUAUUGGUCAAUGGGCUAGCGCCUGAACCAGCCAAGUCGCGUGAAGGAUGACGGCCCUACGGGUUGUAAACCUCUUUUGUCAGGGAGCAACUGAGUCUACGUGUGGCCGUAGCGAGAGUACCUGAAGAAAAAGCAUCGGCUAACUCCGUGCCAGCAGCCGCGGUAAUACGGAGGAUGCGAGCGUUAUCCGGAUUUAUUGGGUUUAAAGGGUGCGUAGGCGGAAUAUCAAGUCAGCGGUAAAAUCUCGGGGCUCAACCCCGUCGUGCCGUUGAAACUGACGUUCUUGAGUGGGCGAGAAGUAUGCGGAAUGCGUGGUGUAGCGGUGAAAUGCAUAGAUAUCACGCAGAACUCCGAUUGCGAAGGCAGCAUACCGGCGCCCAACUGACGCUGAAGCACGAAAGCGUGGGUAUCGAACAGGAUUAGAUACCCGGGUAGUC